UACGUAGGCAGCAAGCGUUGUUCGGAAUUACUGGGCGUAAAGAGUGUGUAGGCGGUUUUCUAAGUUUGUCGUGAAAUCUCCCGGCUUAACUGGGAGGGUGCGGCGAAAACUGGAAUGCUAGAGGAUGGGAGAGGUAAGCGGAAUUCCUGGUGUAGCGGUGAAAUGCGUAGAUAUCGGGAGGAACACCGGUGGCGAAGGCGGUUCUCUGGGCCUUACCUGACGCUGAGGAGCGAAAGCGUGGGGAGCGAACAGG
rnacentral:rRNA from 1 species